rnacentral:misc_RNA from 1 species
GGGCUUGGAGAUUUAUCAUGAUGUAUUGAAAAGAUGGCUGCACGAAUCUCUUCUUCUAUAUAUGGGGUAGUAAGAGACUAAUUCUAUUUUGAAGAAAUUCCCAUGAGAAACAAAAUAAAAAAAAUUGUCUGCCAAUCACAACUAGAUGAGGAAAACAAGCUUGAGAAAUAAGAAACAAUAAGCUCCUCUAACCCCCUCUCUUGAUUUCCUCCACAAACCUGAUGUGUCUUUAAGUGAGAAAAUGAAUUUUGUUUUUUUCCUUACCCAAGUAGCAAAAUGGAAAAAGAGGAGUUGAUAUCACCCUCACGAAGCCAGAACUGCUUUGCAAAUUGCUUCCAAUAAAUCUCAUAAUCCUCAAGAGCUUGUUCAUAACCCUGACAAGCUUUCUCAUAAAGCCUAAUCAAAUUGUUAUCCCACCUAUCAUGAAGUGAAGGCAUCUCCCCUUUGUAAUGAAUAAUCUGGUCAUGACACUUCUUAAGGAAACCACCUCCCCACAUUCGCAAAUCAUGUGCACACUCUUCUGAGCACUUCUGAAUUAAGUGAGAGGGAGACAAAGCCCAACUUUUAUGCUCAACUUCUUUACAUAUUGGUUCCCUUAAUCACAAAUUAUUAAAUUGGAGCCUAUGUCUCCCCUAUAAAUGAAGGACAAACCCAUUUAAGUAAUGAAGGAGAGUGAUAAGAUGAAUGGGCUCCAUCUAAGUUUUUAACGACCACUUCAGGGAAGUAAACCAUCCAUAAGGCCGAAACAAACCCCAAUCUAGUUUUUUAGCUACCCACUAAUUAGAACCUCUACUUCUUUUCCAUGUAAAUGCAUACCCAGACAUGCCUAAAUCAAUUAAUCCACUAUCUUGUAAUGCGCUACAGGAGCCAUCAAUAAGCCAUUGGGGUUAAGUCAACCCACCUUGCAUCUCAUGAUGGAAUAAUAAAUCAUUGAAAACACCACAACAACAAGGAAGCGAAGAAACUCUGCAAAGCAUCUGAAGUCUAUCUUAAGAUGACCUUCUAUUUUGUCUCUCAGGUUCCUCAUAAUGCCAGUCAAUCACCAAGAACUGGAAUUGGGCAAACACACCUUAAUAUCAAUGAAGAACUUGUCAUACCCAAGUAAUAUAAUCGAGUUUUUUUCCCCUCCACAAAAGGGCCAAUCCAUCACGUCUUCCUACAUUAUCAACUAAGAAAAACCCAUCAAAACCAAGAACACAUCGUACAUAAUCAAUCCUCUGCUUUCCAACUUUAUUAGUGUCAAUAAAAAAAAAACACAAUCAUAGGCUUCUGAGUAUUUACAACAACCUGAAGGAUUUGGACUGACCGUUGGUUUCCCAAAUCAUGGCAAUUCC